rnacentral:hammerhead_ribozyme from 1 species
CGCUAGCUGACGAGUCUUAAAUAGGACGAAAUGCGCAUCCUGGAG